rnacentral:lncRNA from 1 species
AGCUAACCACCCGACUUGGCUUCGAGUCAAUCAUCCGCGGAUAGCCCGCACACCGGCUGCUCAUCAGCCUACCGCCCUCUCUCUGUCACAGCCCCCUAGCGGCGAAGUCGUCGCACACGCUAAGCUCGGCUCAAGUCGCAUGACUUGACCAUCUGGUGGCGAUCGCGUUGCUCUUACCCAGCGUGAGCUCGAGUCAUGACACACCGUCUGGCGGCGAACGGAUCGCACCACACCCAACAACG